rnacentral:rRNA from 1 species
GUAGGUGGCAAGCGUUGUCCGGAAUUAUUGGGCGUAAAGCGCGCGCAGGCGGUUCUUUAAGUCUGAUGUGAAAGCCCACGGGCUCAACCGUGGAGGGUCAUUGGAAACUGGAGAACUUGAGUACAGAAGAGGAAGGCGGAAUUCCACGUGUAGCGGUGAAAUGCGUAGAGAUGUGGAGGAACACCAGUGGCGAAGGCGGCUUUCCGGUCUGUAACUGACGCUGAGGCGCGAAAGCGUGGGGAGCAAACAGGAUUAGAUACCCUGGUAGUCCACGCCGUAAACGAUGAGUGCUAAGUGUUAGGGGGUUUCCGCCCCUUAGUGCUGCAGCUAACGCAUUAAGCACUCCGCCUGGGGAGUACGGCCGCAAAGGCUG